rnacentral:rRNA from 1 species
AUUUGUCUGGUUAAUUCCGAUAACGAACGAGACCUUAACCUGCUAACUAGAUUCUUUAGUAUUACUUUUGAUAUCUUCUUAGAGGGACUAUGUAAAACAAAUACAUGGAAGUUUGAGGCAAUAACAGGUCAGUGAUGCCCUUAUAUGUCCUGGGCUGCACGCGUGCUACACUGAUGCAUACAACAAGUGCCUAACCAGACAUGGUAUGGCAAUCUCGAAUAUGCAUCGUGAUGGGGAUAGAUCUUUGCAAUUAUAGAUCUUGAACGAGGAAUUCCUAGUAAGUGCAAGUCAUCAUCUUGCAUUGAUUAUGUCCCUGCCCUUUGUACACACCGCCCGUCGCUCCUACCGAUACCGGGUGAUCCGGUGAACCUUUUGGACUCUUUACUGGGAAAGAUAAGUAAACCAUAUCACCUAGAGGAAGGAGAAGUCGUAACAAGGUUUUCGUAGGUGAACCUGCRGAAGGAUCA